UGGGGAAUAUUGGACAAUGGGCGCAAGCCUGAUCCAGCAACGCCGCGUGGAGGAUGAAGUCCUUUGGGAUGUAAACUCCUUUCGACCGGGAAGAUAAUGACGGUAACCGUAGAAGAAGCCCCGGCUAACUCCGUGCCUGCAGCCGCGGUAAUACGGGGGGGGCAAGCGUUGUUCGGAAUUACUGGGCGUAAAGGGUGCGUAGGCGGCUUUCUAAGUUGGAUGUGAAAACUCUGGGCUCAACCCAGAGCCUGCAUCCAAAACUGGAGAGCUAGGGUUCUGGAGGGGAAAGCGGAAUUCCUGGUGUAGCGGUGAAAUGCGUAGAUAUCAGGAGGAACACCGGUGGCGAAGGCGGCUUUCUGGACAGAUACCGACGCUGAGGCACGAAAGCUAGGGGAGCAAA
rnacentral:rRNA from 1 species